rnacentral:rRNA from 1 species
AUUGAACGCUGGCGACAUGCCUUACACAUGCAAGUCGAACGGCAGCACGGGUGCUUGCACCUGGUGGCGAGUGGCGAACGGGUGAGUAAUACAUCGGAACAUGUCCUGUAGUGGGGGAUAGCCCGGCGAAAGCCGGAUUAAUACCGCAUACGAUCUACGGAUUACAUCGGGGGGCCUUCGGGCCUCGCGCUAUAGGGUUUGGCGAGGGCUGAUUAGCUAGUUGGUGGGGUAAAGUCCUACCCAGGCGACGAUCAGUAUCUGGUCUGAGAGGACGACCAGUCGCACUGGGACUGAGACACGGCCCAGACUCCUACGGGAGGCAGCAGUGGGGAAUUUUGGACAAUGGGCGAAAGCCUGGUCCAGCAAUGCCGCGUGUGUGAAGAAGGCCUUCGGGUUGUAAAGCACUUUUGUCCGGAAAGAAAUCCUUGGCCCUAAUACGGUCGGGGGAUGACGGUACCGGAAGAAUAAGCACCGGCUAACUACGUG